UGUUUCGGCUAGGGGGCCAUCCCGGCUUACCAACCCGAUGCAAACUGCGAAUACCGGAGAAUGUUAUCACGGGAGACACACGGCGGGUGCUAACGUCCGUCGUGAAGAGGGAAACAACCCAGACCGCCAGCUAAGGUCCCAAAGUCAUGGUUAAGUGGGAAACGAUGUGGGAAGGCCCAGACAGCCAGGAUGUUGGCUUAGAAGCAGCCAUCAUUUAAAGAAAGCGUAAUAGCUCACUGGUCGAGUCGGCCUGCGCGGAAGAUGUAACGGGGCUAAACCAUGCACCGAAGCUGCGGCAGCGACACUGUGUGUUGUUGGGUAGGGGAGCGUUCUGUAAGCCUGCGAAGGUGGCCUGUGAGGGUUGCUGGAGGUAUCAGAAGUGCGAAUGCUGACAUAAGUAACGAUAAAGCGGGUGAAAAGCCCGCUCGCCGGAAGACCAAGGGUUCCUGUCCAACGUUAAUCGGGGCAGGGUGAGUCGACCCCUAAGGCGAGGCCGAAAGGCGUAGUCGAUGGGAAACGGGUUAAUAUUCCCGUACUUGGUGUUACUGCGAAGGGGGGACGGAGAAGGCUAUGUUGGCCGGGCGACGGUUGUCCCGGUUUAAGCGUGUAGGUGUGUGUUCCAGGUAAAUCCGGUUCACUUUAACACUGAGGCGUGACGACGAGGCACUACGGUGCUGAAGCAACAAAUGCCCUGCUUCCAGGAAAAGCCUCUAAGCAUCAGGUAACAUCAAAUCGUACCCCAAACCGACACAGGUGGUCAGGUAGAGAAUACCAAGGCGCUUGAGAGAACUCGGGUGAAGGAACUAGGCAAAAUGGUGCCGUAACUUCGGGAGAAGGCACGCUGACACGUAGGUGAAGUGAUUUACUCACGGAGCUGAAGUCAGUCGAAGAUACCAGCUGGCUGCAACUGUUUAUUAAAAACACAGCACUGUGCAAACACGAAAGUGGACGUAUACGGUGUGACGCCUGCCCGGUGCCGGAAGGUUAAUUGAUGGGGUCAGCGCAAGCGAAGCUCCUGAUCGAAGCCCCGGUAAACGGCGGCCGUAACUAUAACGGUCCUAAGGUAGCGAAAUUCCUUGUCGGGUAAGUUCCGACCUGCACGAAUGGCGUAAUGAUGGCCAGGCUGUCUCCACCCGAGACUCAGUGAAAUUGAACUCGCUGUGAAGAUGCAGUGUACCCGCGGCAAGACGGAAAGACCCCGUGAACCUUUACUAUAGCUUGACACUGAACAUUGAGCCUUGAUGUGUAGGAUAGGUGGGAGGCUUUGAAGUGUGGACGCCAGUCUGCAUGGAGCCGACCUUGAAAUACCACCCUUUAAUGUUUGAUGUUCUAACGUGGACCCGUAAUCCGGGUUGCGGACAGUGUCUGGUGGGUAGUUUGACUGGGGCGGUCUCCUCCUAAAGAGUAACGGAGGAGCACGAAGGUUGGCUAAUCCUGGUCGGACAUCAGGAGGUUAGUGCAAUGGCAUAAGCCAGCUUGACUGCGAGCGUGACGGCGCGAGCAGGUGCGAAAGCAGGUCAUAGUGAUCCGGUGGUUCUGAAUGGAAGGGCCAUCGCUCAACGGAUAAAAGGUACUCCGGGGAUAACAGGCUGAUACCGCCCAAGAGUUCAUAUCGACGGCGGUGUUUGGCACCUCGAUGUCGGCUCAUCACAUCCUGGGGCUGAAGUAGGUCCCAAGGGUAUGGCUGUUCGCCAUUUAAAGUGGUACGCGAGCUGGGUUUAGAACGUCGUGAGACAGUUCGGUCCCUAUCUGCCGUGGGCGCUGGAGAACUGAGGGGGGCUGCUCCUAGUACGAGAGGACCGGAGUGGACGCAUCACUGGUGUUCGGGUUGUCAUGCCAAUGGCACUGCCCGGUAGCUAAAUGCGGAAGAGAUAAGUGCUGAAAGCAUCUAAGCACGAAACUUGCCCCGA
rnacentral:rRNA from 1 species